UUGAAAUAUUCCCCCCUUAAUUUUCUCCUUUUUGUUAUUAAAUAAUUAUAUUCUUUAAAUAAAAAUAAAUAAUAAAAAUAUACAUAACAAACUAAAAUGACAUUUUUACUAAAUAUGAAAGUUAUUGCUAAUGAGUCCUCUUAAACGCUAAAAUAUUAACAUUUUGAAAAAUUUUCUCUUGAAUUAAUUUCCAGCAAAUUCUUUUUCGUGAUUCAGUCAGCCCAACUCCCCUUGAACGCGGCCCAUUCCAAUAGACCCGAUCCAGCCCCAAUCUCUUCCCAAAAGAGACGCAGAAUAGCGUGACAAUUCCCAAAAAAUAACGCCCCAAAGUAGAGACCAGUAAGAUAAUUCUUUGUCCCUUUCUUCAACGUUCCUCUCGUCUUUUCGUACCAGCAGCUGCAAAUCCGUCCUUGUGGCCUUGAGAUGGGGCCACAUCGUUCGCCAAGGACGCUCGAGUCAAUCCAAGCCUUUGGUUUCCUUUCCUCUUCCGGAAUGGAGCCGAAUCGUCAGGAAACGGUGUCUCCCUCAAUUUGUGAAAGAGAUUUGGACUUUGAAAUUCGAAUUUGGACCCAUCCUCACUCAAUUUCCCCCAAUAAUCGAACCCUAAUAACCCCUAUGUAUAUUCUCUUUCGCUUCAUUGUAAAAGGGGGAAAUUUUUUUCGCUGACAGAAAACUUUGCUUGGUGAAUAGUUGAAAUUUGAGAGGAAAAUAUAGUAAACUAUCAGCUGCAAUUAUUUGAGGAUAAGUUCUCAGAAGCAAAAAAAAAAAAAAAAAGUGAGAGUUUAGGCCUUGUUUGAGUGCCUUGCUUGUUUCUUCGUUCACCGGGGUUUUCUUUGAGUCGUCGGAAGUUGGCGCUUUCAAAGCUGGUUAGAUAUCCCUGUUUUGCUCGUUUGACUAUCGACUGUGAGGUGUUCCAUUGGAAUAAAUAUGCAGCAUGUUUUCUGUUAAUACAUUUGAGUUGAAUUAUCUAUAUGUUCCCUGAGCAUGGUAUGUUCUUAAGUAUGCAUACACGCACAAUACAUGCUACUGUCUAGAGAGUUUUUUAUUUUUUUAAAGAUUUUGUUUGUGCUAUUCACUUGGUCUUCCUUAGAGUCAUGUAUUUUAGCCUCAUUCAAAUCCCUUAAGUAGCUUUCCUUUAUUUUUAAAAGUAAUAUCUGCUUUCUUUUAAUAUAUAUCUUGUUUCUUAUAUUAUUUCAUAUGCUAACCCAUUUCUAUUUUAUCGCAUGUAAAAAAUUUCUUCGGGUCCUUACGGACUUUACUUCAUCCAUUUGCAUCCUCUCAUCGAGACGUAAAGGCUCACACCACCGUAUCCGAGUCGUCCAUCCCGUUAUAACUGGUGUACAGAUCAAAAUCAGCAAAUUUGUUGCUGGGAAUUAAUUUGCAGGUCCCCGAAAAGCCGAAAAACAGGUCGAUAUACAUCCCGUAUACACUGGUAUACAAUGUGAAUAUACAAUAUGCAGUUGGAAAACGUUUCCAGGAAGUUAAAAACGCAAAAAUACAAAGUUUUGGUUUAAAUUUCAGGUUCAGGAGCGCAAAACUCGUCAAUAUACACAGCUUAUGCAUAGAAUAUACACUCAAAAAUGUAUCAUGACUUUGGAAAGAAAAUAGGCCUAAAUGCCCUAAGACCUGCAGCAGCAGAAUUUGGGCCCAGGGCCCAAAUUUGAUGUUUCCUCCCCUUCUUAUUUAUUUAUCAUGAUAGUUGACUAAUUAUUUUAUGUGAUUUUGGUUUAAUUUAAUUAUUCUCCUAUGAUAGACAUUCCUCUUAUUUAUACAUAUAUUUAUUUAUAUACAAAUAA